GACGAACGCUGGCGGCGUGCUUAACACAUGCAAGUCGAACGGAAAGGCCCUGCUUUUGUGGGGUGCUCGAGUGGCGAACGGGUGAGUAACACGUGAGUAACCUGCCCUUGACUUUGGGAUAACUUCAGGAAACUGGGGCUAAUACCGGAUAGGAGCUCCUGCUGCAUGGUGGGGGUUGGAAAGUUUCGGCGGUUGGGGAUGGACUCGCGGCUUAUCAGCUUGUUGGUGGGGUAGUGGCUUACCAAGGCUUUGACGGGUAGCCGGCCUGGGGGGGUGACCGGCCAAAUGGGGACUGGGAAAGGGCCAGGACCCUGAGGGGAGGAGGAAGGGGGGAAUAUGGCACAUGGGGGGGAGGCCGAAGGAAGAAACCCCGGGGGGGGGAGGAGGGCCUUCGGGUUUUAAACCGCUUUCGCCGGUGAGGAGGCGGGAGUGACGGUAAUGGGUAAAGAAGCACCGGCUAACUACGUG
rnacentral:rRNA from 1 species